rnacentral:rRNA from 1 species
GACAGAGGGGGCAAGCGUUGCUCGGAAUUACUGGGCGUAAAGGGCGCGUAGGCGGGAUGGCAAGUCGGUCGUGAAAUCCCUCGGCUCAACUGAGGAUCGUCGAUCGAUACUGCCGUUCUUGAGGAUUGCAGAGGAGACUGGAAUUCCCGGUGUAGCGGUGAAAUGUGUAGAGAUCGGGAGGAACACCGGUGGCGAAGGCGACUAACUGGACAUGUAUUGACGCUGAGGUGCGAAAGCGUGGGGGGCAAACAGG